AUCGUAUUAAUCAUAAACUAAGACAAUUUGUUUUGUGCUAGGUCACCUCCCUAUGGCGAGGAGAUGGGCACCAAUCCCUUCAACAUCCGCUCUCACGCAUCGGCGUCAUGCCUCACUCUAACUUCAGGGGUCUCCUAAUUAUGCUCGAAGUCAUGUGGUAUUCAAUUAAUAUCGUGGGAUGGUGGAGAUAGUUGGUCUACGUGCAAGAUGGAACGUUUCUGCGUUCUUUAUUACCCCAUUCAUGAAUAUGCCCAUCACGUAGUCCCAAUUGAACCACAUUGCGAAAUAACAUAUCAUAUCAGCCCGGGACUGGACACAGGAAAGAACAAUUUUAUAACCACAUUACAUCUCAGGGUAAUUUCAAGAUGUCCAAAAUGGCAAUGGCAGAACAAGUUCCCAAUACAAUGAAGAAUUUCGGCUUUGGAUUGAGAGCCAUGAAAAACCAUACAUGUUUGAUCCCACUGGUUGGUAUCAUCGGAUUUGCUUGUGGAAUGUGUGGAACCUACUGUCUCUAUGCAAUGGCAACAAAACCAGAUGUCAGGCUACAAAAGAGCAAAAAGCAUAUUCCAACGUACGAGGAGGUAGAAGCGGGUGAAAUACGAAAGAUAAUGGAACCCUCUCCGCAAAAGUACACCUACGACCCAGAGAUCUUGAAGCUUCGUCGGGAGAUGGGUACAUACAAGGCUAACGUAUAUACCAACGAGUAACGAUGCUGACUAUAGGAAAUUGGGGAGGGUUACGAUUUACGAACUGUUUUUACUUUUCUGUUCUGGAACGGCUAG
rnacentral:misc_RNA from 1 species